GCCUGGUUCUUUCGCUUGAUGGUUGGUAAAGCGUGAGACUCUUAAUCUCAGGGUUGUGGGUCCAAGGCCCACGUUGGGCA